GCGUAAUUGGUUUAGUGGUAAAAUUCUCCGUUGCCAUCAGGCAAAUAUCGGGGAGCCCUGGGUUCGAUUCCCAGAUUACGCA
rfam:Fusarium poae strain 2516 chromosome FPOA_1 Chr1, whole genome shotgun sequence.